UACAGAGGUCCCAAGCGUUGUUCGGAUUCACUGGGCGUAAAGGGUGCGUAGGCGGUCGGGUAAGUCUGAUGUGAAAUCUCACAGCUUAACUGUGAAACUGCAUUGGAUACUAUUCGGCUUGAGAGUUGGAGGGGGGACUGGAAUUCUUGGUGUAGCAGUGAAAUGCGUAGAUAUCAAGAGGAACACCGUGGCGAAGGCGAGUCCCUGGACAACUUCUGACGUGAGGCACGAAAGCUAGGGGGAGCAAAACAGG
rnacentral:rRNA from 1 species